GAUUUCUGGUUUGGUGCGCCUGGCCCACUACCUUUAGGUACGUGAGUGCCGGUGCGCGCCUGCCAUCCCUUCUAGAGAACGGCUCUGUCCUUCACUGGUCGGAGUCGCGAUCUAGAUCUUUUACUUUGAAAAAAUUAGAGUGUUUAAAGCAGGCUCGCGCCAUGAAUACAUUAGCAUGGAAUAAUAAUUUAGGACUUUGGUCUUAUUUUGUUGGUUUCUAGGACUAAAGUAAUGAUUGAUAGGGACAGUUGGGGGUGCUAGUAUUCAGCGGCCAGAGGUGAAAUUCUUGGAUUCGCUGAAGACUAACUUAUGCGAAAGCAUU
rnacentral:rRNA from 1 species